rnacentral:rRNA from 1 species
AGGGUUUGAUCAUGGCUCAGAAUCAACGCUGGCGGCGUGCCUAACACAUGCAAGUCGAGCGAGAAAGGGAGCUUCGGUUCCUGAGUAAAGCGGCGGACGGGUGAGUAACACGUGGGUAAUCUACCCUCGGGUGGGGAAUAACUCAGGGAAACCUGGGCUAAUUCCGCAUGAUACUUUCGAUACAUACGUAUUGAGAAUCAAAGCUGGGGACCCUUCGGGGCCUGGCGCCUGAGGAGGAGCCCGCGGCCAAUUAGCUUGAUGGUGAGGUAACGGCUCACCAUGGCUACGAUUGGUAGCCGGCCUGAGAGGGCGGACGGUCACACUGGGACUGAGACACGGCCCAGACUCCUACGGGAGGCAGCAGUGGGGAAUUUUUGUCAAUGGGGGAAACCCUGAACAAGCAACGCCGCGUGAAGGACGAAGACCUUCGGGUUGUAAACUUCUGUCGGAGGGGACGAAAGCAGUGGUGGUCAAUAGCCAUGAUUGUUGACGGUACCCUAUGAGGAAGCCCCGGCUAACUCCGUGCCAGCAGCCGCGGUAAUACGGGGGGGGCAAGCGUUGUUCGGAAUUACUGGGCGUAAAGGGCGCGCAGGCGGGCGGGAAAGUCUCUCGUGAAAGCCCACGGCUCAACCGUGGAAUUGCGGGAGAUACUACUCGUCUUGAGUCCGGGAGAGGAGUGUGGAAUUCCCAGUGUUAGCGGUGAAAUGCGUAGAUAUUGGGAGGAACACCGGUGGCGAAGGCGGCACUCUGGACCGGUACUGACGCUGAGGCGCGAAAGCUAGGGGAGCAAACGGGAUU